UACGUAGGGUGCAAGCGUUAAUCGGAAUUACUGGGCGUAAAGCGUGCGCAGGCGGCUUUGCAAGACAGAUGUGAAAUCCCCAGGCUUAACCUGGGAACUGCAUUCGAGACUGCAUUGCUAGAGUAUGGGAGAGGGAAGUGGAAUUUCCGGUGUAGCGGUGAAAUGCGUAGAUAUCGGAAGGAACACCGGUGGCGAAGGCGGGUCUCUGGGCCGAUACUGACGCUGAGGAGCGAAAGCGUGGGGAGCGAACAGG
rnacentral:rRNA from 1 species